CACUCCUGUUUCUGCCUCAUAUUCCCUUGCUCCAUGGAAUAAUGGGUUCUGGUGAUGGAGAAGAUCAAGCCCGUCGUCGUCUCUGCGAUUUGAUACUUUGUUGAGUUCGAGGACGGGAUCGUGAAAACGCAUAUACCCAGGGCUGCCAGACAGGUUGGCGGCUCUGAAUUGUCGUUUCUACAUCU
rnacentral:snoRNA from 1 species